CCUGUUUGCUUUUUCAGGUUCUGCCACAAUCUAGUACCUCUAGAAACAACUGCAUCCUCCUUAACUGCUCUUGACCCCACAUGGAUUGCCUGGUUACUUUACAGCACCCUGCCAAACAGCUUUGUAACUCAUCUCUCUUUCGAUGACCUCUGUAUGCCUUCCUGCAGUCCUACCCUAGAGCCCUACAUCUAAACCAUUUUCUAACACUGCUUCUCUGUGGCAUCCUUAGCUGAGGGGGGGAGGGAUGACUGCCCUAUCUACAGGCUAGCCCCAGAAUCAAAUGGAGAUGACAGAGCUAGCUCUGCUGCAGAAGCUUGUGUUCCUUUGGUAUCUGGUUUGUGAGAGAGCACUGCCACAUUCACCAAAGCAGGGAGAGCAAUGGGAGGUGUGGGGUGGAGAAACCUGAUUAAAAAGAAAGCAACACCCCACCUGUACCCCAAAGACUGCUACGUGCUGGCAUGAGACAAAGAGAUCACAUUAAUUCAAUUAGCUUGCAUUAAUUAUGUAAUAUAAACCACUCUCCUUGUACUUGAGCAGGAAACGUUGACCUUUACCUAAAUAAGAUGUCCUGAUGGCUUAUGUAUGGAAAAUAAUAAUCCUUCUAAAUUAUGUUACUGUUGUUACAGGAGUAGGAGCUGCAGAGCACAAACCAGAAAGAGCUAUCGCUAUUGUGCAGCUGGGGAACUGAGUCGUGGUGAAGUCAUGGGCAAGAAGAACCAGAGGAGGGGAAGGUAGAGCAUCACCUCGUAGAGCAUCAUCACCAAAGAAACCCAUGGACUUAAGAGUCACACAUGAUCAGAGACAACAAAGAGCAACAGAAUUCAGUGCCUCAGCAGACGACUGCAGGCAUACAGAAAAGAUGCAUGUUCCCCAUUCACCAGAAUUCCUGUUCUAAAGGUGAGAGAAACACGUAACAGCCAGACUUCGCAUACACCCCCAGACCCAAUGGGCAAUAUAGUCUGUUUGCAAUGCUGAAAACAUAAGCUACUGACUCCUUUAAUAAUACCAUACAAUACUAAAUAAAACUCAAUAAAGGAAAACUAGCACAAAUCCGUUUGCGUCAACCACCCUAAAACAAGAACAACAAAAGCCUGGCUAAAUUUCCAGGCUUACUGUAAAUACUACUUUAACUUCCUCAAAACCAAAGCAAGUGACAGCGUUUUGAAUCAAAUCCUACAGCCUGUCACACCCCUGAGCUUGUCCACAUCACAGGUCUGUGCAGAAUUUGGUGCUUCAGCCACAUGAAGUGAAGGCUUCCUGCAAGGAACACCAUCUCACUCCAAAACGACGGUGCUCCUCGGUAAGAUGACACACUUCAUGUAUCGUGCAUACAACUGAAUCCCCUCUAAAUUGACAAUUUCAUAGGUAUUCAAACAACUGAGGGAAGAGAUGAGCAGAAUAGGAAGGAAAGGAAAGAGUACAACAGGCUGGCAAAAAGUUUACUAGGAAAAACUGAGAGAUGUCAGAGGGAAACAGAAAUCCUAAGGUCUGCUAAAAGCAAACCUGCAGCACGCAGUUCCACAGCUACAAGUGAACAGGAAAAACAGAAUCAGAUACUUCCUCCAAGAGCACAGCUGCCAACUAGCACUAGAGAAAGUGAUGGUCCUGCCUUGCCCUCCUAAGAGGAAGUGCUUGUAUAUAACCCACGUGUACAUCAGACUUGGCACAUGUAGCAG
ensembl:lncRNA